ACGAACCACCCAAACGUUAUUCGGAAUUACUGGGCUUAAAGAGUGCGUAGGCGGCCUUGAAAGUUAGGUGUGAAAUCCCACAGCUCAACUGUGGAACUGCGCUUAAAACUACAUGGCUAGAGGGAUAUAGAGGUGAGCGGAACUGAUGGUGGAGCGGUGAAAUGCGUUGAUAUCAUCAGGAACACCGGAGGCGAAGGCGGCUCACUGGGUAUCUUCUGACGCUGAGGUACGAAAGCUAGGGGAGCGAACGGGA
rnacentral:rRNA from 1 species